CGCCCCCGAGCCGGCUGCUCGCUUUCGCUGCAGCCUCUGCACCAGAGGGGGCUGCGAGACGGGUGCCCGUCGGCGGCCGGGCGGCGAUCCCCUGCUCUGCCCGCCCCCUCCCCCCGGGAAGUGACCCUCGGCUCCCACGUACCCGCUAGGGUCUCUCGCCGGCCCUGCCCUCCGACCCCCGCCGAGUUGAACCCCGCAACCCGCAGCCCCCGCCCUCUCGGCCCUCUCUGGCUCCGCGCCGGCGGACAAAGCUCCGGACACCCUGACCGAACGGUCACCUCCCCCCGCCCCAUCCCGGCCCGCCCGCGGCCCCGUACCUCGGCAUCACGGCCGGGUCCUAGCCCACAUAUGGAAGCAACCAGCACCCACGCAGGUUCUGGAACUUGCCAAAGUUCUAGGGGUUGAGCCCACUCCACCCUGUCCAAAG
rnacentral:lncRNA from 1 species